AGGGAAUAUUGCGCAAUGGGGGAAACCCUGACGCAGCGACGCCGCGUGAAGGAAGAAGGUUUUCGGAUCGUAAACUUCUUUGACUGGGGACGAAAGUAAUGACGGUACCCAGGGAACAAGCCACGGCUAACUACGUGCCAGCAGCCGCGGUAAUACGUAGGUGGCGAGCGUUGUCCGGAAUUACUGGGUGUAAAGGGCGUGUAGGCGGGAGAGCAAGUCAGAUGUGAAAGCCCAAGGCUCAACUUUGGGACUGCAUCUGAAACUGUUUUUCUUGAGUACUGGAGAGGGAAGCGGAAUUCCUAGUGUAGCGGUGAAAUGCGUAGAGAUUAGGAGGAACACCAGUGGCGAAGGCGGCUUCCUGGACAGAGACUGACGCUGAGGCGCGAAAGCGUGGGGAGCGAAC
rnacentral:rRNA from 1 species